AUGUCCAGCGCUUUGACAAAGUCGUCAUUUUCUUUCAUGGAGAUGUCCAGCGCUUUGACAAAGUCGUCAUUUUCUUCCUUGGACAUGUCCAGCGCUUUGACAAAGUCGUUAUUUUCUUCCUUGGACAUGUCCAGCGCUUUCACAAGGUCGUUGCUUUCAGCCUUGGAAAUGUCCAGCGCUUUGACAAUGUCGUUAUUUUCUCCCUUGAAAAUGUCCAGCGCUUUCACAAGGUCGUUGUUUUCAGCCUUGGAAAUGUCCAGCGCUUUCACAAGGUCGUUGUUUUCAGCCUUGGAAAUGUCCAGCGCUUUGACAAUGUCGUUGUUUUCAGCCUUGGAAAUGUCCAGCGCUUUGACAAUGUCGUUAUUUUCUUCCUUGGAAAUGUCCAGCGCUUUCACAAGGUCAAUAUUUUCAGCCUUGGAAAUGUCCAGCGCUUUCACAAGGUCGUUAUUUUCAGCCUUGGAAAUGUCCAGCGCUUUGACAAUGUCGUUAUUUUCUUCCUUGGAAAUGUCCAGCGCUUUCACAAGGUCGUUAUUUUCAGCCUUGGAAAUGUCCAGCGCUUUCACAAGGUCGUUAUUUUCAGCCUUGGAAAUGUCCAGCGCUUUGACAAUGUCGUUAUUUUCUUCCUUGGAAAUGUCCAGCGCUUUCACAAGGUCGUUAUUUUCAGCCUUUGAAAUGUCCAGCGCUUUCACAAGGUCGUUGUUUUCAGCCUUGGAAAUAUCCAGCGCUUUGACAAUGUCGUCAUUUUCAGCCUUGGAAAUGUCCAGCGCUUUCACAAGGUCGUUGUUUUCAGCCUUAGAAAUGUCCAGCGCUUUCACAAGGUCGUUGUUUUCAGCCUUGGAAAUGUCCAGCGCUUUCACAAGGUCGUUGUUUUCAGCCUUGAAAAUGUCCAGCGCUUUCUCAAGGUCGUUAUUUUCAGCUUUGGAAAUGUCCAGCGCUUUCACAAGGUCGUUGUUUUCAGCCUUGGAAAUGUCCAGCGCUUUCACAAGGUCGUUGUUUUCAGCUUUGGAAAUGUCCAGCGCUUUCACAAGGUCGUUGUUUUCAGCCUUGGAAAUGUCCAGCGCUUUGAGAAGGUUGGAUUUUUCAUCGUUGGAGAUGGCUCGCGCUUUCACAAGGUCGUUAUUGUUGUCCCGGCAGGUGAUCAGCGCUUUCACCAGACCAUUAUUUUCUUCCCUGGAGAAGGACACGACUUCUUGUAGCCUGUCAGUUUCUUUCCUAGCGUUAGACAGGUCACUGAGCAGGCCGUUGUUUUCUUCCCGGAACAUGGACAUGACUUUUCGCAGCCUGUGAAUUAUUUUCCCUGCCUUAUACAGGUCGCUGAGCAUUACGUUAUUUUCGCGUCGCGAUAAGUACAGGUCAUUGAGCAUCCCGCUGUUUUCUUCCUGCAGCGCUGACCUUUGCUGUUCUUUGUCUCUCCAAGCCGUUUGUUGAGCCAGCACCGCCCUGUGCAGGACAGUGGCUUCAUCUGUGGCCUGAAGCAGGAGGACGGACAGAAGGGCGUUUUGUCUGGAUAGGUCCUGCAUGGCCUGCUGACUCUGCUCUUGUUCGGCCAGCAGACCGGCAGUCACCCAGGCCUUGUGGGCCCCAAGCUGUCCCGCCGGGGGUCCUCCCUCCCCAGGCGCGGCGGCGGGCAGUUCUUCGGCGGGCGGGGUUGUGGGGCCAAACCCGGUGAUCGCCAGGAGCAAACUGGUGGCCAGGGCCCACCACACCAGUGCCAGAACAACUUCAAUUCGCAUCGUCGUGAUGAUAAUUUAAGUACGUCUGAAUGUAAAUAAGUGCGGAAGUGAGAGACAACGAAGGAAAGCGAAAGUGAGCUGAGAGCCGGACAGCAAGGAAGGCAGCAGGAAAAAGAGAGUGUGUCCUCCUCUCCCUCCUCCUGGCAGUGUUUCCCGAC